UCCAGACUCCUACGGGAGGCAGCAGUGGGGAAUAUUGCACAAUGGGGGAAACCCUGAUGCAGCGACGCCGCGUGAGCGAAGAAGUAUUUCGGUAUGUAAAGCUCUAUCAGCAGGGAAGAAAAAAAUGACGGUACCUGAGUAAGAAGCACCGGCUAAAUACGUGCCAGCAGCCGCGGUAAUACGUAUGGUGCAAGCGUUAUCCGGAUUUACUGGGUGUAAAGGGAGCGUAGGCGGCGCGUUAAGUCUGAUGUGAAAACCCGAGGCUCAACCACGGGAGUGCAUUGGAAACUGGCGGGCUGGAGUGCCGGAGAGGUAAGCGGAAUUCCUAGUGUAGCGGUGAAAUGCGUAGAUAUUAGGAGGAACACCAGUGGCGAAGGCGGCUUACUGGACGGCAACUGACGCUGAGGCUCGAAAGCGUGGGGAGCAAACAGGAUUAGAUACCCGCGUA
rnacentral:rRNA from 1 species